rnacentral:misc_RNA from 1 species
ACCUAAGAUGUGGUUUCCAGCGUGUAAUCCUAAUCAAUCUCCCAAUAUGUCAGCCAACUGUUAGCAUUAAGAUGUGCUUUAUGAUGAAAGAUAAAUUAACACUCAGACUCAUAAAAUAAGUAGUUGAUGGCAGUUUUCACGUGUUGAUCGAAGCAAGGUCAAGACUGGCGAAGAUGUUGACGUAGUAGCCAAUUAUAUCUCGGCGUGUAGAUUGGAAGAAAUGGGCUAUGGCCAGACUCCGGA